CCCUACGGGGCGCAGCAGGCGGAAUGAUAAGUCAGUGGUGAAAUCCUACGGCUCAACUGUAGAACUGCCAUUGAUACUGUUGUUCUUGAGUACACUUGGAGUGGGCGGAAUGUGUCAUGUAGCGGUGAAAUGCUUAGAUAUGACACAGAACACCGAUCGCGAAGGCAGCUCACUAAGUUGUAACUGACGCUCAGGCACGAAAGCGUGGGGAUCAAACA
rnacentral:rRNA from 1 species